CAGUGGGGAAUAUUGCGCAAUGGGGGAAACCCUGACGCAGCGACGCCGCGUGCGGGAAGAAGGCCUUCGGGUCGUAAACCGCUGUCAGGAGGGAAGAAACUGUUAGGGUAUAAUACGCCCUUUCACUGACGGUACCUCCAAAGGAAGCACCGGCUAACUCCGUGCCAGCAGCCGCGGUAAUACGGAGGGUGCGAGCGUUAAUCGGAAUCACUGGGCGUAAAGCGCACGUAGGCGGCGCAUCAAGUCAGGCGUGAAAGCCCUCGGCUCAACCGGGGAAUUGCGUUUGAAACUGGUGUGCUGGAGUCUCGGAGAGGUUGGCGGAAUUCCAGGUGUAGGAGUGAAAUCCGUAGAUAUCUGGAGGAACACCGGUGGCGAAGGCGGCCAACUGGACGAGUACUGACGCUGAGGUGCGAAAGCGUAAAAGCAAACAGGAUUAGAUACCCUGGUACUCCACGCUGUAAACGAUGGAUAUUAGGUGUCGGGGGUUACCUUUCGGUGCCGCAGUU
rnacentral:rRNA from 1 species